AGUGAACGCUGGCGGUAGGCCUAACACAUGCAAGUCGAACGGCAGCACAGUAAGAGCUUGCUCUUACGGGUGGCGAGUGGCGGACGGGUGAGGAAUACAUCGGAAUCUACUUUUUCGUGGGGGAUAACGUAGGGAAACUUACGCUAAUACCGCAUACGACCUACGGGUGAAAGCAGGGGAUCUUCGGACCUUGCGCGAUUGAAUGAGCCGAUGUCGGAUUAGCUAGUUGGCGGGGUAAAGGCCCACCAAGGCGACGAUCCGUAGCUGGUCUGAGAGGAUGAUCAGCCACACUGGAACUGAGGCACGGUCCAGACUCCUACGGGAGGCAGCAGUGGGGAAUAUUGGACGAUGGGCGCAAGCCUGAUCCAGCCAUACCGCGUGGGUGAAGAAGGCCUUCGGGUUGUAAAGCCCUUUUGUUGGGAAAGAAAAGCAGCAGGUUAAUACCCCGCUGUUCUGACGGUACCCAAAGAAUAAGCACCGGCUAACUUCGUG
rnacentral:rRNA from 1 species